AUGGGAUGCCACAAAAGCAUUGUACAAAACAGAUGGAAAAUGCCUGACGAGUCUAGAGACAAACUGAAGCAGCAAAUUAUAUCCCGAGUUGAACUUAUUUGGACUUUGCUAGCUCCUGAACCUGCCAUACCGCAGCACAGAGCUAAAAGAUAUCAUCCUUAGAAAAACAAAAGGAUUAUUGCAAAUGAGGCACUUAAUCAGAUACAAUAAUAUAUUUUAAUUCUUAAAUUGAAGGAAACAGCUACAGGUAACUUUUCCAUGUCACAUAUUCUGUGUCAGGUAAAGUAUGUAUACCGGAGGGGAAAAAACAUUUCUCUCUCUCAGCUUUGGAAGUAUUAUUAUUGCAUAAAGCCAAAGUACACAGUGCACUACAUUCUUUAUAUCCCCCACCCGUAUGCAUAUUUUUGAUGUCUUAUGUCUACUGCAACAAAAAUACUUCCCAGAAUCCUCUGUGCUUAACAAAACAUUGUAUGUUGCACCAGUGAAAACUGAUGAGGUUUCCUCAGUAAAAAUCCUGACAUUUCA